rnacentral:tRNA from 1 species
AUUAGCUCAGUUGGUGAGAGCAUGGUGUUAAUAAUGCCAAAGUUGUAGGUUCGAUCCCCACAU